UACGUAGGGUGCAAGCGUUGUCCGGAAUUAUUGGGCGUAAAGAGCUCGUAGGCGGUUUGUCGCGUCGAAUGUGAAAACCCGGAGCUCAACUCCGGGCCUGCAGUCGAUACGGGCGGACUCGAGUUCGGCAGGGGAGACUGGAAUUCCUGGUGUAGCGGUGAAAUGCGCAGAUAUCAGGAGGAGCACCGGUGGCGAAGGCGGGUCUCUGGGCCGAUACUGACGCUGAGGAGCGAAAGCGUGGGGAGCGAACAGG
rnacentral:rRNA from 1 species